UACAGAGGUCUCAAGCGUUGUUCGGAUUCAUUGGGCGUAAAGGGCGCGUAGGCGGCGGGGUAAGUCGGGUGUGAAAUCUCAGAGCUCAACUCUGAAACUGCACUCGAUACUGCUCUGCUUGAGGACUGGAGAGGAGACUGGAAUUCACGGUGUAGCAGUGAAAUGCGUAGAUAUCGUGAGGAACACCGGUGGCGAAGGCGACUAUCUGGGCCAACACUGACACUGAGGCACGAAAGCGUGGGGAGCAAACAGG
rnacentral:rRNA from 1 species